GGGUCAGUGGGUUGGUCGUGCCACCGGUACGUACUGGUCUCACUGAUUCCUCCUUCCUGAAGAACCGUAAUGCCAUUAAUUUGGCGUUGCGGGGAAACAGGACUGUUACUUUGAAAAAAUUAGAGUGUUUAAAGCAAGCUAACGCUUGAAUACAUUAGCAUGGAAUAAUGAAAUAGGACGAUCGAUCCUAUUUUGUUGGUUUCUAGGAUUGACGUA
rnacentral:rRNA from 1 species